UUCCCUUCGUCCUCUCACAGAGUCUCAGUGUUUGUGGACUGUCCUGCUGGCACUCUGUCUUUCUAUGAAGUCUCCUCUGACUCUCUGAUCCACAUCUACACCUUCUGCUGCACGUUCACUGAACCUCUGUGUGCUGGGUUCAGGUUCAGGUUUGGUUCUGGUUCUGGUUCCUCUGUGUCUCUGUGUGGACUGUAGGAUGGAGAGUCUCCUCCUGUGGACACAAACACUCGAUCAUGAGUGUCUGGACAUAGGGCUGGACGAC